CCUUGACUCAAAAGAUCUCCCAACAUAUCUCCCAACUUCUGGUCGUCUUUCACCAUCACCAUAAUUGAAUGCCAUCAUUUAAGCCUCUCCAGCAGAAAGUAAAGAGACGCCCGCUUCACUUCAUCUUCCCCUAACCCCUCCAGUCCUAUAAAAUCCACCACACAUUACAUAGCCUCUUUGCUUUGCUCCUGGCGCGAACCAAUGAGCCACCACCGUCUGCCUCUGCCGGGAUUGCAGGGUUAUUUCUAAACAGGUGGGUGUAAUUUGGGAAGUAGGGUAAGGAGUAGUGUAAGGGAAUUGGCGCUAAGACACUAAAUUUGCAGUGAAACUGGCGGCUGGGGUACAUGCCAGGUUCGCAACGACGAGUUCAACCAAUCUAGCAGUUCUUCCUCCUGAUACAGGAAUCAUGAAGAGGGACGAGGAAAUAGGAGAAGGCAUAAACUUUUAUCUUUAUGAACAUGUUAAUGCCGUAAAUUAUUUCUUUUUUUUAUUUUCAAGACGAGUAUCAUCUUUACAUUAGAAGAAGCUCUUGGAGUGUUCGCUCUAAUAUCAAAGAUCAUGAGCCGACCCCAAAGGAAACGUUUGCGCAUGAUUGUUGAUGAUAGCAACAAGGGCAGCUCUAAUAAGUGAGUGCAAUUAUGUUUCAAUAACUUUCUCUGCUUUCCGUUGUUUAAGAGAUUCUUUUAUGUGAAGUGAAUUUUAAGAAUGUUCACAAUGAUCGCCGGGCUGUACUCUAUCUGAAUGAUUGUGAUUGUGGGGAGGAACUUUGUCGUGAGAAGGCGACAAUUAAGGAAAAAAUUAUGUGCACAAAGUCAGCAUCAAGGACAUGGUUGUGGAAUUUGAUAAGAGUAUUCUUCUUAUUCUGCACUGUUACCUAUUAGUUUUUUAUACUAAUAUUCAUUAAAGUAUCAUCUACUUGAUUCUUUCUGAACUUGGUGUGCUUUAUUUGAAGUAAUAUCCAUCUGUUACAAAUCAGUUUGGGAUAUAUUUGAUCUCUAACAGGUCAAACUGUUUGAAGGUUGACUAAUCUUUUUUUUAUAAUAUAAUGCAAACAGCCUUGUAAAUUGCUUUAUUUAAAGAAAUUUGAUUAUUUUUUAAAUAAUACAGUUUCUCUAAUCAAGUUUAACACAAUAUUUAUAUAUAAUAAUAGGUAAAAAAUGAAUAGAUAAAAAAUGCUUGUUAGGUCGUCCCAUCCAAGUUAUUUAGAUAACACCAUUUUAAGAAUUUGGGAAGUGCUUUUCAAAGGAUACAUAUAUCAAGGGAGAUAGCCAGUUCACUGUAGUCCCUCAUCCCGCACUGCUCUUCCAGAUGCUGAGUUAGAGGUGUUAAAGCUUCCAGCAUGUUUUCAAUUUUGAAACUAUUAAAUACUCCAACUAAGGAUGCAUUACUAGAUGAAUUUCUUCCCAAAAUUGUCCCUUGCAAAUUGGACCACCACUCCCUGGAUGAUCCAUGCAAAUGCUGAGCACAAGUAUCCGUAUGAUUGGCGAACAAAGAAACCUGCAAGUAUCUUGGAUAAGUUUUUUAGCAUGCUCAUCUUCGAAGAAGAUGCUGGGUGAGCUUCAUCAUAAACAGUCUUGUGUUGAUCCUUGGAUAUGCAUAUCCAGCUUUUGAGUGUUUUAAAACCAUUGAGAAGCAUAGUGAAGAAAUGCAGAAUUCAGAUUUUGGUGUCAAUAUUGUUCUUACAGUUUUUGAAAGAAUAAGUGAUAUAUUCCUUUCAUGGUUACCGAUGUAUGGAGAGAUGAAGCUAGCGCUCAUCAUCUACUUAUGGUAUCCUAAAACUAAGGGAAUAGGAUAUGUAUAUAAUGCCAUGUUGAGACCGUUUGUAGCAAGACAUGAGCCCGAUAUAGAAAGGAAGUUUAAGGGAAAUGAGGGCGAAAGCGUGGGAUGUGGCGAUUAAUCAAUUUUGAAGAGAAAUUGAGGAUAUGCAUACACAUACAUGAUCAUAAUAUGAAAAUCUAAAUGAUUAACAUAUUAUUUUUUCCAUUGCAUUAUGGGUGAUAAAUUUUUAAUCCGCUAAAAUUCUACUCUUUUGAAAUUGCAUAAAGAUGUACGAUUGCUUGAUGUGUAUCGUGUUCCUGUCAAAUCUAAAUGAUUAACAUAUUAUUUUUUCCA